rnacentral:snRNA from 1 species
GUGAGGGUGAUAUGACUGUGGCAUCUGUCAACCAGGGUUGAUUCAGCUGUUCCACAUGGAUAUGUAGGAAUACCUCUUCUCCCUCAGCAUGUUUCUUUCCUAGAAAGGCACACUUAAUAGAAGAUGACUGCCUUUUGUGAUGGAGAAGGGCCAAUCUACACUCAAGGUACAGGAGGAGUAUCUGUGUCUAUUGCUAGAAACUAAAAAAAAAAAUGUAUAGGAGAACAUACUGUGGUCAAGCUUCUAAAACUUUAGAGGUGAAUUACUUCAAGAGGCAGUUGGCUUUCCAUU